CUACCAUGGCGUUUACGGGUAACGGAGGAUUAGGGUUCGAUUCCGGAGAGGGAGCCUGAGAAACGGCUACCACAUCUAAGGAAGGCAGCAGGCGCGUAAAUUACCCAAUCCUGACUCAGGGAGGUAGUGACAAGAAAUAACGGACCGUGUCCUUCGGGACUCGGGAUUGCAAUGAGCCGAAUUUACACCCCUUAGCGAGGAUCGAUUGGAGGGCAAGUCUGGUGCCAGCAGCCGCGGUAAUUCCAGCUCCAAUAGCGUAUAUUAAAGUUGUUGCAGUUAAAAAGCUCGUAGUUGGAUUUCUGGGAGAGUGCCAAUGUCCGCCGAAGUGCGUGCGCAGCGGCGCUCUUUCAUCCUUCUGUUAACGGCUCUUGGCAUUCAUUUGCUGGUGUCGGGCUCAGAUAUUUUACCUUGAGAAAAUUAGAGUGUUUCAGGCAGGCUAGGCCGGAAUACAUUAGCAUGGAAUAAUGGAAUAGGACUACGGUCUCUUUGUUGGUUUGAGGGACUGCAGUAAUGAUUAAUAGGGAUAGUUGGGGGCAUUAGUAUUUAAUUGUCAGAGGUGGAAUUCUCGGAUUUGUUAAAGACUAACUUAUGCGAAAGCAUUUGUCAAGGAUGUUUUCAUUAAUCAA
rnacentral:rRNA from 1 species